AUAGAGAUAGAAGUCAUUGCUCUGGUGGGCAUCAUAGUAUCCAACAUAGUGGCCACCAUCCUCAUCGGAGUCUCCGUCUACUGCAUCGCCAGCCAAUCCAAAGGACCUGCGUUCCCUAGCAACAAAGCUUCUCAAGAGUCUGAUCGAAGAAACCUUCUCCCGCAAAAUGGUGGUGACGUAUAUCAGGCACUCAGCCCUACCGGCCGGGCGGGCGAAUAUGACGUACUCCACAACCGGAGAAGAUAAAGUUUACUGGUCACCAUAGACACGGUAUAAUACAAACAACAAGAAAACAGCAAUGAUAAACAGGAUUUUAUAUUGCCUGGACCCAGUGUCAACCAUACUCAUACACCCUCUCAAGUCAAUAACUCAGAAACGGCAAAUUCAAUUAUUACUUACUGUAUGAACAUAUGAAAAAUCAAAUA